UUAGCAAGAAAAAGCCCUAGGGCGUUGGUCUUCAUAGCAGCAUCGCACCACCACCCAACCUCCGAUCUCGCACCGCCAACUGUCUCCGACCAUCUUCUCCAACCAUUUGGGAGAAGUUGUUUCCAAACGUUUCAACAUUUCAUUAUGUUUUACCAGCUUCUAAACCAAUUUUCCCUUCCAUCUUACGAAGACAUCCUAUUUUUCUUCUUCGGCGAUUCCCCCCUUCUCCUCUAAUUACUUUCUCGGCUUCUCCCCUGACUUACAACAAGAAAACCCUAGUUCUUUCCUUUAACUCGUCUUCGCAAAAUCAAGCGCAUACAACCAUCAUGUAUGAGAGUACGUCUGUUUUCUUCCUCUUACAAUCGCUAAGCCCUAACAUCGAAAAUUGAAAGUCAAUUGACCCUCCGUUCGAAGAAAAAGGUCCCACAUGAAGGAACAAUGUGUGAUCUGUUAAGGUCAGAUCCAGAUGAUAGAUGCGGGUAGGGGUUCUCUCCACAUGGGGCUGGUACACAUUCGGACAAGACAUCGCGUCUCACUUCAACUAUACAAAUGGGCUUACUCUCAUCUCCACAGCUCACCAGCUUUUCAUGGAGGGUUUCAACUGGUGUCAUGACAAGAAUGUGGUGACAGUGUUCAGUGCUUCUUACUUCAAAAACAGAGUUGGAUCAGUAUUGGGGGAGUCGCAAGUCAUGGGGCCCCAACAACACGUAUGACCUCAUUGGCAAGUUGCGUUCUAUUAAGCAUUAUCUUCUUACGGAUCAGAUACACAUUGUUGCUUCAUGGUUGAAUGAGCAACAUUUGAGCAAAAAGUCAAAGAGAAAGAGAUAAUGUACAAGAGCUACAGAGACGAACAUAGGGGUGUGGUUGACACUGGCAAUAAUAAAAUUUGUUUUAAAGAACUUGGUGUUGUUCGGGCCAUGGGUACCAACCACUUUUCCCCUGAUGUGGUUUUUAUCGUCUCUAGAGGCUUUAGAACAGAUUGACUUUGUUGGUUCUCAAGAGCAUGCAUUGAUAGGUUUUGCAUCUGACUAAGUUUUAGAUUGCUCUUGGGAUUUUACAGGUAUCAGAUGGUUUAUGAUGCUUUAUUAUCGGGGUUUGCUGGUUUUCGACCAUAUUACCCCUGCACUUACAACAGAUUACUUCAUCUUUGGUCACUUUUAUUUGUGUAUGAAUUUUCUAGCUCAUGAAAACAGUCGAGUAUUCAAAUUCAACUAAAAAAUUUCUUUUGCAUAUCUAACCCGCAAAGCGGGAUUCUUCCCUAGUUUGGUUAAAAAGAAGACAUUUUAAGAGUUAUGGUUUUGUUAUGGUUUUGUUGUAUAUGUAUUAGGUUAUCCAAAGAUCAUUCACAAAGAUCUUAUAGUCUUAAUUAUAUGUCAGCAACUCAGCAUCCAGAGAUCUAUAAAAGGCUCAUGGGAACUCAUUCCAGAAGAAGAUUUUGCUACUGUUUGGAUUUAGGGGAGGCCAUGCUUCUACUUCUUCCAUGGAAGUUCUAUCCCCAUUUUGCAAAUUCAGCCAUGAUUUCUUAACUCUGAUAUAAAUUAUCUGUUAAUUGCAGUUCUCAGUUUGCACUGCGUUCAUACCUCUACAUUAUGUUCCAUUAUAUGGUGGGUUGGCCAGCUUCACAGAUGUAUAAUUGGCUCGAUGAGGAAAAAGUAAGAGUAUUCUAUGCUGUGAGAAUCUUUCUUGGCCUUCUUUCUGUCAUAUAUGAAGCUACUUUAGUAGUAGCACUUUCUAGAAAGUAUGGGAAACGCCUUGCUUGUUACACACUCGCCCUUUUAUGCUUAACAAGUGAUUGCUUUUUUGCUAGCACAAGUUUUUUGCCAAGUUCUUUUUCUAUGUAUGCAAUUUCUCUCUCUUCAGCAUUGUUUCUUUUUAGGAUGCAUGCCAUGGCUGUUGCUGUUGCAGCAACUGGAGUUAUUAUUGGUUGGCCAUUUUCAGUCCUUGCUUUUCUUCUAGUAACAGUCUACUCUCUGCUUCGAAAAUUCAAAAGGGCAUUUAUAUCAGGGGCAUUUAUGUCAAUUACACUUUUGCUUUUCCACUACCACGGAAGUAUGAAUAAACUUGCUGCAUAUCCAUAACAAACCACAUACAUUGAAAUUAAAGAAAAAAAGGGGAAGAUCAUGAUCUGAUCAGAAGAUGAAGAUCAAUAUUUCAAACCUGAAUAACCCAGAUGCUGAUUGCCGUUUCAAUGAAAAAUAGUCCAAAUCCAAUGAGAUAACAACACAUAGCCAGAUGGUCAUUAAUUUAGUGUACCUCAUUUAGUGAAACUUACCUUCUUUAAAGCAACAAUCUUUCCAGUUUCAAGGUCUCGAGCUCUGUACACGCUGUUCUGACAGAAGCAUUUGGGAAGUUCUAUGGAAGCUCAAAACAGGGAACCAGCAAUGAUAAAUCUCGUGCUGGUGUUCAUGACAACCGCAUCAAGCACACAUAGGUUUUCUCUUUGGUAACUCAAUUUUACCCAUUUGAGGAGAUAAGUUUGUUAUUAUUUUUUUGCUUUUUUCCUUUCUGAGUGUGGAUAUGGAAACUUCAUGCACAAUUUUAUUAUAAUUAUUUUCCAGGUCAUAUGAAUGAUUAAAUGUCGACACUCUACAUGCACCUGAAUUCUAUAUUUUGUGGUGCUUGUAGAGUGUCAUGUAUUGAUUGAUUAAUGGUUUGGUUGAACACAAGUCACAUGAUACUUCAUGCAUAGUUUGGAUCAUAUUAAAUUGUUAAUGGUUAAGUUUAGAAUUCAAGCGAUGUCUAAUGUUUAGUGAUCAAUUUCACAGGUGAUGACCUUACAUGUGACAAUGCAAAUCUUGAAGGUGAAUCAGGGUCACGCACAAUUCUUGGUAGACAGGUCAAAGGAAUUGUCACAGAGCAGGUUGUUAUAAUGCUUCACCUGUUCAAAAUAGCAAUUUACUCUCUUUAUUUUGUUUAUUGUAACAUUAUAUAUUGUAAGAAGUAGAAUUGUAUGACAUUAAAUUUUAUGCAAUGGAUUGUAUUUUUUA